rnacentral:SRP_RNA from 1 species
AGUCGGGCUAGGAGGGGAGUUGGCGUUCCCUGUAUCACAAAUCGCAACUGGUGGUCCGAACGCCCGGGGGCGGCGCAAACGAGCCGUGGACGAAGCAACCGUGGACUAUGAGACCUCGCCCCCAAGUGACUCAGGUUGGUGUAAACGGAAUCCGGAGGGAGUCUGCUAGUACCGCAAGCCGGGGGAUAAGGCCAGGCCAGGAAUGGAGCAGCCCAACCCGGAGCCUAGGGUGCCUUGGGGACCCGGGGUUGAGAAGACGGAGGCAUUCUCGGACGCGGAUACGAGCACCCACCCUGGGCUCGCCCACU